GAUGAACGCUAGCUACAGGCUUAACACAUGCAAGUCGAGGGGCAGCAUGGAAGAAGCUUGCUUCUUCUGAUGGCGACCGGCGCACGGGUGCGUAACGCGUAUCAAACCUGCCUCAUACUCGGGGAUAGCCUUGCGAAAGUAAGAUUAAUACCCGAUGUUGUUAUGUUACCGCAUGGUGAUAUAACCAAAGAUUUAUCGGUAUGAGAUGGUGAUGCGUCCGAUUAGGUAGUAGGCGGGGUAACGGCCCACCUAGCCUUCGAUCGGUAGGGGUUCUGAGAGGAAGGUCCCCCACACUGGAACUGAGACACGGUCCAGACUCCUACGGGAGGCAGCAGUGAGGAAUAUCGGUCAAUGGACGGAAGUCUGAACCAGCCAAGUAGCGUGCAGGAUGACGGCCCUCCGGGUUGUAAACUGCUUUUAGUUGGGAAUAAAAAAGGGGACGUGUCCUCUAUUGUAUGUACCUUCAGAAAAAGGACCGGCUAAUUCCGUGCCAGCAGCCGCGGUAAUACGGAAGGUCCAGGCGUUAUCCGGAUUUAUUGGGUUUAAAGGGAGCGUAGGCGGAUUAUUAAGUCAGUGGUGAAAGACGGUGGCUCAACCAUCGUUAGCCAUUGAAACUGGUAGUCUUGAGUGCAGACAGGGAUGCUGGAACUCGUGGUGUAGCGGUGAAAUGCUUAGAUAUCACGAUGAACUCCGAUCGCGAAGGCAGGUGUCCGGGCUGCAGCUGACGCUGAGGCUCGAAAGUGUGGGUAUCAAACAGG
rnacentral:rRNA from 1 species